AGAACGAACGCUGGCGGCAGGCUUAACACAUGCAAGUCGAGCGCCCCGCAAGGGGAGCGGCAGACGGGUGAGUAACGCGUGGGAAUCUACCCAUCACUACGGAACAACUCCGGGAAACUGGAGCUAAUACCGUAUACGUCCUUCGGGAGAAAGAUUUAUCGGUGAUGGAUGAGCCCGCGUUGGAUUAGCUAGUUGGUGGGUAAUGGCCUACCAAGGCGACGAUCCAUAGCUGGUCUGAGAGGAUGAUCAGCCACAUUGGGACUGAGACACGGCCCAAACUCCUACAGGAGGCAGCAGUGGGGAAUAUUGGACAAUGGGCGAAAGCCUGAUCCAGCCAUGCCGCGUGAGUGAUGAAGGCCCUAGGUUGUAAAGCUCUUUCAACGGUGAAGAUAAUGAACGGUAACCGUAGAAGAAGCCCCGGCUAAACUUCGUAGCCAAGCAGCCGC
rnacentral:rRNA from 1 species